rnacentral:rRNA from 1 species
ACCCUUUAAUGUUUGAUGUUCUAACGUGGACCCGUAAUCCGGGUUGCGGACAGUGUCUGGUGGGUAGUUUGACUGGGGCGGUCUCCUCCUAAAGAGUAACGGAGGAGCACGAAGGUUGGCUAAUCCUGGUCGGACAUCAGGAGGUUAGUGCAAUGGCAUAAGCCAGCUUGACUGCGAGCGUGACGGCGCGAGCAGGUGCGAAAGCAGGUCAUAGUGAUCCGGUGGUUCUGAAUGGAAGGGCCAUCGCUCAACGGAUAAAAGGUACUCCGGGGAUAACAGGCUGAUACCGCCCAAGAGUUCAUAUCGACGGCGGUGUUUGGCACCUCGAUGUCGGCUCAUCACAUCCUGGGGCUGAAGUAGGUCCCAAGGGUAUGGCUGUUCGCCAUUUAAAGUGGUACGCGAGCUGGGUUUAGAACGUCGUGAGACAGUUCGGUCC